UACGGAGGGGACUAGCGUUGUUCGGAAUUAUUGGGCGUAAAGCGCGUGUAGGCGGCUUUGCAAGUCGGGUGUGAAAGCCCUCAGCUCAACUGAGGAAGUGCGCCCGAAACUGCAGAGCUUGAGUACCGGAGAGGAUGGCGGAAUUCCCCAAGUAGAGGUGAAAUUCGUAGAUAUGGGGAGGAACACCGGUGGCGAAGGCGGCCAUCUGGACGGUCACUGACGCUGAGACGCGAAAGCGUGGGUAGCAAACAGG
rnacentral:rRNA from 1 species